GUUGUAGUGGCCUAGUGGUUAAGGCGUUAGACUAGAAGUCUUUUGGGAUCUUCCCGCACAGGUUCGAAUACUGCCGACACCG
rnacentral:tRNA from 1 species